AACGUAGGACGCGAACGUUAUCCGGAGUUACUGGGCGUAAAGCGCGUGCAGGCGGUUGAGUAAGUUACCUAUGAAAGCUCUCGGCUAAACUGAGAGAGGAUAGGUGAUACUGCUGAACUUGAGUGAGAAAGAGGGAAGUAGAAUUCCGGGUGUAGUGGUGAAAUGCGUAGAUAUCCGGAGGAAUACCAGUGGCGAAGGCGGCUUCCUGGUUCUCAACUGACGCUGAGACGCGAAAGCGUGGGUAGCGAACGGG
rnacentral:misc_RNA from 1 species